GGGCUGUUUGUUUGCCUCUUAAUUAGACAAUUAAGAGGCAAUCUCUUAAUUUUUCAGAUUCAGUGUGUUUGGUAGCAUCUGAAUAAUAUCCUCUUAAUUUAUCAAAAAGAAAUUAAUUUUUCAGAUGUGAAACCAUGUCUGAAUUAAAAAAAUGAGACGCAUAUUCCUUUUUGCCCCUUAUAACAUUUCAGGAACAUCUGCUUCAUUUCUUUCUACUCCAUCAACGCCACAACCCCCUUCUCCCUCCCGCUCCAACUCUAAUCUACAACCCUCAGCCGAUCUCCCUCCGCCACCGACACCAGCCUCGCCAGCGACGCCGACGUUGACGUCGAUAGCCCCGAGAACGACUCCGAUACCAUCGCCCCUUCUCCCACCCAGCGGUUCUAUAUAAGGUUUUGAAUGUUGGUGUUUCGUUUAUGUACUUAAAUUGUCAAGAUGUUGGUGUCACUUUUGGAAUGUGAAUUAACUGGACUUGUACAAAUUUCAGGGAUAUUUUUUCUAAUCCCUUUCAGUUUUUUCUAAUCCAUUAAUGAUUGUAUAUAUUUCCAUUGAGCUUAUUUGUUUUGUUGUUAAAUUAUCAAUUUCGGGUUGAAAUGUUGGCAAGAAAAAUUGAGAGGCUAUUAAAGGGCAUGUUUCAUGUAAUGAUGGAGAAGAAGUAUGGAUGUAUUUGUUUAGCUUGAACAUUUGUUGUUGUUUUUCCUGAUCACUUUUUUUUCUAAUAGAUUUGUUGAUCACACCAAGAUAUUUGUAUGUUUUCAUGAAUUUGAAAGAAUUUAUGUUGUAUUUUGGAUUUGUGUUUAAUUUGGAUUUUGUAUGGUGUUAAAUAUAAGAAAUAGCAAUGUAUUUUUAUUGAUUUAUCUA